GGAGGGAUGGCCGAGUCUGGCUUAAGGCGGCGGUCUUGAAAACCGCUGAGCGCAAGCUCCGUGGGUUCAAAUCCUACUCCCUCCGCCA
rnacentral:tRNA from 1 species